CCGAAGGUGGGACCGAUAACUGGGGUGAAGUCGUAACAAGGUAGCCGUAUCGGAAGGUGUGGCUGGAUCACCUCCUUUCUAAGGAA
rnacentral:rRNA from 1 species